rnacentral:rRNA from 1 species
CAGGCUUAACACAUGCAAGUCGAGGGGCAGCAUGGUCUUAGCUUGCUAAGGCCGAUGGCGACCGGCGCACGGGUGAGUAACACGUAUCCAACCUGCCGUCUACUCUUGGACAGCCUUCUGAAAGGAAGAUUAAUACAAGAUGGCAUCAUGAGUCCGCAUGUUCACAUGAUUAAAGGUAUUCCGGUAGACGAUGGGGAUGCGUUCCAUUAGAUAGUAGGCGGGGUAACGGCCCACCUAGUCUUCGAUGGAUAGGGGUUCUGAGAGGAAGGUCCCCCACAUUGGAACUGAGACACGGUCCAAACUCCUACGGGAGGCAGCAGUGAGGAAUAUUGGUCAAUGGGCGAGAGCCUGAACCAGCCAAGUAGCGUGAAGGAUGACUGCCCUAUGGGUUGUAAACUUCUUUUAUAAAGGAAUAAAGUCGGGUAUGGAUACCCGUUUGCAUGUACUUUAUGAAUAAGGAUCGGCUAACUCCGUGCCAGCAGCCGCGGUAAUACGGAGGAUCCGAGCGUUAUCCGGAUUUAUUGGGUUUAAAGGGAGCGUAGAUGGAUGUUUAAGUCAGUUGUGAAAGUUUGCGGCUCAACCGUAAAAUUGCAGUUGAUACUGGAUAUCUUGAGUGCAGUUGAGGCAGGCGGAAUUCGUGGUGUAGCGGUGAAAUGCUUAGAUAUCACGAAGAACUCCGAUUGCGAAGGCAGCCUGCUAAGCUGCAACUGACAUUGAGGCUCGAAAGUGUGGGUAUCAAACAGGAUUAGAUACCCUGGUAGUCCACACGGUAAACGAUGAAUACUCGCUGUUUGCGAUAUACAGCAAGCGGCCAAGCGAAAGCGUUAAGUAUUCCACCUGGGGAGUACGCCGGCAACGGUGAAACUCAAAGGAAUUGACGGGGGCCCGCACAAGCGGAGGAACAUGUGGUUUAAUUCGAUGAUACGCGAGGAACCUUACCCGGGCUUAAAUUGCAGAUGAAUUACGGUGAAAGCCGUAAGCCGCAAGGCAUCUGUGAAGGUGCUGCAUGGUUGUCGUCAGCUCGUGCCGUGAGGUGUCGGCUUAAGUGCCAUAACGAGCGCAACCCUUGUUGUCAGUUACUAACAGGUUCCGCUGAGGACUCUGACAAGACUGCCAUCGUAAGAUGUGAGGAAGGUGGGGAUGACGUCAAAUCAGCACGGCCCUUACGUCCGGGGCUACACACGUGUUACAAUGGGGGGUACAGAGGGCCGCUACCACGCGAGUGGAUGCCAAUCCCCAAAACCUCUCUCAGUUCGGACUGGAGUCUGCAACCCGACUCCACGAAGCUGGAUUCGCUAGUAAUCGCGCAUCAGCCACGGCGCGGUGAAUACGUUCCCGGGCCUUGUACACACCGCCCGUCAAGCCAUGGGAGCCGGGGGUACCUGAAGUGCGUAACCGCGAGGAGCGCCCUAGGGUAAAACUGGUGACUGGGGCUAAGUCAUAACAA